rnacentral:lncRNA from 1 species
UUUCAAUGUAUAAAAAACUAUUAUAACCUUGAGUAUUCAAGAGUAUGGUCCGUAUACUAUCAGUAGCACGAAAACCUCCGUGCUAUGUAUUAAGUUAUUUUUGAUAAUGUAGCUUUCAAAUCGAUGAUCGGUUUCGUUAGACUUGUCUACACUAUUAAAAGUAUUUGAAAACUAAAUUUUAUAAAAUUUUGAUAUCAUUUACCUAUCAAACGAGUAAUCUAAAAAUGAUGGCUGAAAAUAAAAAUUUUAUAAUAAUGAUAAAAGACUUGAAUUUAAAACUAAAGAUAUUUACUCUAAAUAGUAAAAAAUAUUUUUAUAAAACUUUUAUCAGAUUGGAAUUAUUUUACACCGUUAAAUUCACAAACGCACCACAUCGACCAUUAAAGUUGCCAAUUUUGAAACAUUUUAAUCACUAGCCAAAUAAUGUAAAAAAAAUAUGAAAUUUUCAAAUACUUUCAAUAAUACAAAUCAAGUCAAAUGGAGCCGAUCGUUGAUUUGGAAGCUGUAUCAUUAAAAACAACUUGCAGCUACCGAUAGUUUAUCAGUCUAGCUAGCUCGAGUAUUCAAUCCUAAACACUACACGCAUUUAUGAAUUAUUAUGGUAUUGAUUAGACCUGACAAUCUCAAACCUGUACUCGUGAUAUCCAUGGAUUACCUGUAAAUUUACGGUUAUAAAUAUCAGUUUUUCUUACCUAAAAUAUUAUAAAUAAAAUAGGUGGAUACCCAUUAUAUUAUAGGCAUUUUCGGUAACCUGCAAGUAUCCACGAGUAUCUGCAUAUAUUAUUUUUUAAAAUAUUUUAAAAAAUAAAAAAGUGAAUAUUCUUUUUAUUUUAUCCAUUCCUAGAAUCCUAACAUUAAUUUCUUCUAAUGUCAUUUUUUUUUUCUAUUUCUGUUUUAUGUUGCUAUAUUUUAAAUAAUAAAUUAUUGUUCGAUUGUUUUAAAAUAGGGAUAAUUGCCUAUAUAUUCCUCAUACGUUUGAAAAUAUCCAAUUUACCCCUAUUUUUUUUUUCUUUCUAAAAUAUCCCACAUAUAUUCCACCGUUAUUGCAAAAUACCCCCGCAGUUAUCUCCUGUUAAGUUAACUUAGGUUAACAUGAGUUAAAUAUCUACCACAGUUAAAAAAAUUUGCCCUUAACUUAAGGGCAAAAAAAAAAUAUUGGUGACGGCAGAAGAGUAUAUUAGAAAAGACCAAAAAUCAAAAUACUUUUUGUGCCUCUGAAUUUAAGGGCAAAUAAGAAAGUCAGUGAUGGUGGAAGGGUAUAUUUGAAAGGGUAAAAUAGUAAUUUUACAGAGUUAAUAGAGUUAAUUAACAGAUUUUAACUCUGGGGUAUUAGAAAUAGGUUGGAACGUAAAGAGGGUAUUUUCAAUAUAUAUUAGCCUUUUAAGAUGGGUAAAUCGAAAAAUCCAGAACUUUUCAGAAGUAUAUAAGCAAUUGCCCCUUAAAAAUAAUAUAUAAGAGAGACAAAAAAAACCUUUUGAAUAACUCUUGUAC